CCAAUAGCGUAUAUUAAAGUUGUUGCAGUUAAAAAGCUCGUAGUUGAAUUUCGGGAUCAAUAUGUCGGUCGUGCUUUUUUGGUACGUACUGGCGUCAUUGGUUUCUCCCUUCUGACGAACCAUGAUGUCAUUAAUUUGGUGUUAUGGGGAGUUAGGACUGUUACUUUGAAAAAAUUAGAGUGUUUAAAGCAGGCAUUAGCUUGAAUACAUUAGCAUGGAAUAAUGAAAUAGGACGUUCGAUCCUAUUUUGUUGGUUUCUAGGAUCAACGUAAUGAUUAAUAGUGAUAGUUGGGGGCAUUAGUAUUCAAUUGUCAGAGGUGAAAUUCUUGGAUUUAUUGAAGACUAACUACUGCGAAAGCAUUUGCCAAGGAUGUUUUCAUUAAUCAAGAACGAAAGUUAGGGGAUCGAAGACGAUCAGAUACCGUCGUAGUCUUAACCAUAAACUAUGCCGACUAGGGAUCGGAUGAUGUUAAUUUUUUAAUGACUCAUUCGGCGCCUUACG
rnacentral:rRNA from 1 species